UAUAUAUUUAUGAUCUAAAAGCCAUUACCUACUAUUUAGGUUUAAAAUAAAUCAUUUAAAAGUAAAUUUUUCAUACUUGAACGUUUUUCUGUAUCUUUAAAAUCAUCUUUUCCUCUUAAAAAGAUCGAUAAAAUCUACAAAUAGCUACGCCCAUCCACGCAAACGCAUAUAUAAAAAACAAUUUUAAUCUGGUAAUUUCUUUGAUAAAUGUUUUUAAAUGUUUUGGUAAAAAAAAAAAAAAAAUUAUGACUUGUUUAACAGAGUCGAAUUUUAACAAAGUACAUGAUUACGACUCUAAAUGUUGUUUGAAAAACAAAGCAACCUUUAAAAACCCGGCAUUUUGUAAAUUUCUAACCUAAAAGUUAGCCAUUCACCAAAGUAAAAUACAUAGGUUCUUAAUUCGCUUACUCAGGAUUUAUUUAUUUAUCUAUUUGUAUGUUUUGCAGGCUUUGGUCCAUUUAGCAUGUGUUUUUCUUCUGUUGAUGGGAUUACCAGCAUCAUCAUCGAGUGAUUGCGAAACUUGUUUCAGUGCAUAUCAAUACAUGUGUGUGGAAACAACGUGUUACAGAGUCCCAACCAAUAGGCUAUUCGAUAUGCGAUACCGUUUUCGAUGUAUUAGAAUGUGUCGUAUGAAGAAGGACUAUUGUGACUCAUUGUGUUUGACUACAAAACGUUAAUUCUGGUUCCGAAGGAACAUAUUCCAUGGAAUGUUACAUGCAGAAAGUGACUGCUUAAAAAUGCGAAUUGCAUACAUUUGGAGGUGACCAAAUGCGUAUUAAUGUUUAUUAUGAUGGAUUAUAAAAAAAAAGACGAUCUCAUUCAUGUUUUUUUUCAUACUUACAAAUGUUUACCAUUCAUUGUCAACUUUAAAGACAUUUUCUUCACAUUUUUGAUAGAGCCGGAUUUGUUGGGUAUUUUGUAAUGCCAGUAUGAGCGUCUCUGGAUGUUCAUGCAUAUUUUAAAUUAACUGAUCUCUUCAUUUAUCCACUAUUUCACUGCCACAGUUUGAUGUCGUAUGUUUUGUAUAAAUGUUAAUAAAAUUAUGAAAACAAGAC
rnacentral:sRNA from 1 species